GCCCUUUAAUGGUGCAGAGUUCUUUGAGUGUUCAUGGUUCUAAACAGAACCAUUAGCUUCAUGAAAGAACCCUAGAAGAACCAUCUUUUUUUAAGGGUGCAGAGCUGGUCAUGCAACACCAGAACCUGACCUCACUGAUGUCCUUGUGUCCGAGUGCUUGUUGUCUGUCUUUCUGAGGGGAAAAACUGGUGGACUUGUCCUUUAACGCGCUGAAGACUUCUGGCUUCUUGCCAGGGCGGCGUGUGACGCAACGGUAAGAGGUGGGGCGUCUCCAUGGGCGUGAGGGUCGCCAACCAAUUAACUUCCGAGGCCGGACACGUGGUGAUUUGGCCACGCCCCUCCCCAACUCAGCGCUCUCUCAUGCUGCACUUCUACAAGUCUGCAAGCGGGACAGCAGCAACCGGGACGGAGGGCUUUUAGCCGGAUAGACGCUUCACUCUACAGUUUACCUUUCACUCAGAGCUCUCGGAGCCAAAGUCGGCCUAAUUUGAUGCUCUGUACCUUUAUUUUCACCUUCACCAGCCUGGAAUUACACUUUCUGAGGACUGCGUUGUGUUUUGAACAGUGCGUCAAGGAAGCCUGGCACUAGGACUGGAACACCUGGAGGGCAGAAAGUGGACUCUCUGCACAUUUAGGACUCUCCGCGUGUUUUCUGCUCCAUGCACUGACCGUGGGGACUCUCUUCAUGGAGCUAUGGCCACAAGUCCCCAGCUGGGGCAUUGCUCAGUGCCGCUGAGGCGUUAGCAGGCUCGGCUAAGCCUCUGCUACACCGCGUCUGGCCCUCACGCGUCCCCCCCCCCUUUGCUGUGCCUUCUUUCCAGCGGUGGAUGCUUGCCAGCGUUUGCGGACAGGUGCUGUAGGCCACGCCGGGGUUUGAAUGCCUUUGCACGGCUCUUGCUGGUUCCUGUGCUGCAGGCAAGGCUUCAGCUUGCUGGGACGCGAGCAUGGAGAGAAAGAGGAGGAGGAGGAGGAGGAAUCGUUCGAGUUGCGCAACAAGGACGCGCAGACGGGCCAACUGGAAGUGACUCUUUCUCAGCCUACGCAAUCAGCCAAUGGCACACCCAGUCUGUCAGGUGUCAGUGAGGAGAACAGCAGGCUGAUCGUGAAGAAGGCCAUGGAGGAUGACCCGGAGGUUCUGGUCAAGGGUGAGUGUUAUCACUGUUAUUAAUAUUGAUAUUGGUCCCAUUUUGUUUGGAUAUCCUCCAA
ensembl:lncRNA